rnacentral:tRNA from 2 species
UCUCUGAUAGUUCAGUGGUUAGAACCUUGUGCUUUUACUGCCAAGGACCCAGGUUCAAUCCCUGGUCAGGGAA